rnacentral:rRNA from 1 species
CAGUCGCCGCGGUAAUACAGAGGGUGCGAGCGUUAAUCGGAUUUACUGGGCGUAAAGCGUGCGUAGGCGGCUUUUUAAGUCGGAUGUGAAAUCCCUGAGCUUAACUUAGGAAUUGCAUUCGAUACUGGGAAGCUAGAGUAUGGGAGAGGAUGGUAGAAUUCCAGGUGUAGCGGUGAAAUGCGUAGAGAUCUGGAGGAAUACCGAUGGCGAAGGCAGCCAUCUGGCCUAAUACUGACGCUGAGGUACGAAAGCAUGGGGAGCAAACAGGAUUAGAGACCCCCGUAGUCCCUGUCUCUUAUAC